AACGAACGCUGGCGGCAUGCCUAACACAUGCAAGUCGAACGAGACCUUCGGGUCUAGUGGCGCACGGGUGCGUAACGCGUGGGAACCUGCCCUUAGGUUCGGAAUAACUCCCCGAAAGGGGUGCUAAUAUCGGAUAAUGUCUCCGGACCAAAGAGUUAUCGCCUUUGGAUGGGCCCGCGUUGGAUUAGCUAGUUGGUAGGGUAAAAGCCUACCAAGGCGACGAUCCAUAGCUGGUCUGAGAGGAUGAUCAGCCACACUGGGACUGAGACACGGCCCAGACUCCUACGGGAGGCAGCAGUGGGGAAUAUUGGACAAUGGGCGAAAGCAUGAUCCAGCAAUGCCGCGUGAGUGAUGAAGGCCUUAGGGUUGUAAAGCUCUUUUACCCGGGAUGAUAAUGACAGUACCGGGAGAAUAAGCUCCGGCUAACUCCGUG
rnacentral:rRNA from 1 species